AAUUUUUUGUAAUAAAGUAUUACAAUAAUGAACUUUAAACAAAGGGAAAACACUUCGUUCCAAUGGAGCUGGAUUAUUACAAAUUUAUAAUAUACAGAUUCAUCUUUGAAAGAUUGGUCAAGUUCCCUCUAAAAUCAAGGAUCGUACUUUACUGAAUUAUAUAAAUUGAGCCUAGUCAAGGAUCCAUACUGAAGAAAGGACGAAAGUAAGGGUAUGAAAAAGAGGAUAAGAAAAUGUCCCAGGAGGAUACUGAGCAGACAUAGUAAUUCAAAAAGGAUAAAAAUAAAUGUGAAAUGUUUAUAUAGUAUUUGUAAUUAUAUAAAAUAGCAUCUUCACUACAAAGAUGUAGUAUGACAGUAUAGUGAAAGACAAUACAAUUAAAUAAAUAAACCUUAAUCUUUUAUU